rnacentral:rRNA from 1 species
AAGUGCGAAUGCUGACAUAAGUAACGAUAAAACGGGUGAAAAACCCGUUCGCCGGAAGACCAAGGGUUCCUGUCCAACGUUAAUCGGGGCAGGGUGAGUCGGCUCCUAAGGCGAGGCUGAAAAGCGUAGUCGAUGGGAAACAGGUUAAUAUUCCUGUACUUGGUAAAGCUGCGAUGUGGGGACGGAGUAGGUUAGGUUAUCGCACUGUUGGAUAUGUGCGUUUAAGUUGGUAGGUGGGAAGUUUAGGCAAAUCCGGACUUCCUUAACACAGAGAGAUGAUGACGAGGCUCUACGGAGCUGAAGUAACUGAUACCACACUUCCAGGAAAAGCCACUAAGCGAAAGGCUUUACUAAACCGUACUGAAAACCGACACAGGUGGUCAGGUAGAGAAUACUCAGGCGCUUGAGAGAACUCGGGUGAAGGAACUAGGCAAAAUAGCACCGUAACUUCGGGAGAAGGUGCGCUUACAGUAAUUGUAGUCCCUUACGGAUGAAGGUGAAGUAAGUCGAAGUGACCCGCUGGCUGCAACUGUUUAUUAAAAACACAGCACUCUGCAAACACGAAAGUGGACGUAUAGGGUGUGAUGCCUGCCCGGUGCUGGAAGGUUAAUUGAUGGUGUAAUCGCAAGAGAAGCACCUGAUCGAAGCCCCAGUAAACGGCGGCCGUAACUAUAACGGUCCUAAGGUAGCGAAAUUCCUUGUCGGGUAAGUUCCGACCUGCACGAAUGGCAUAAUGAUGGCCAGGCUGUCUCCACCCGAGACUCAGUGAAAUUGAAAUCGCCGUGAAGAUGCGGUGUACCCGCGGCUAGACGGAAAGACCCCGUGAACCUUUACUAUAGCUUGACACUGAACAUUGAAUUUUGAUGUGUAGGAUAGGUGGGAGCCUUUGAAGCAGUGACGCCAGUCAUUGUGGAGGCGAGCUUGAAAUACCACCCUUUAACGUUUGAUGUUCUAACGAAGAUGACGAAACGUGGUCUCGGACAGUGUCUGGUGGGUAGUUUGACUGGGGCGGUCUCCUCCCAAAGCGUAACGGAGGAGCACGAAGGUUUGCUAAUCACGGUCGGACAUCGUGAGGUUAGUGCAAUGGUAUAAGCAAGCUUAACUGCGAGACAGACAAGUCGAGCAGGUACGAAAGUAGGUCAUAGUGAUCCGGUGGUUCUGAAUGGAAGGGCCAUCGCUCAACGGAUAAAAGGUACUCCGGGGAUAACAGGCUGAUACCGCCCAAGAGUUCAUAUCGACGGCGGUGUUUGGCACCUCGAUGUCGGCUCAUCACAUCCUGGGGCUGAAGUAGGUCCCAAGGGUAUGGCUGUUCGCCAUUUAAAGUGGUACGCGAGCUGGGUUUAGAACGUCGUGAGACAGUUCGGUCCCUAUCUGCCGUGGGCGUAGGAGAAUUGGUUGGGGCUGCUCCUAGUACGAGAGGACCGGAGUGGACGCACCACUGGUGUUCCGGUUGUGUCGCCAGACGCAUUGCCGGGUAGCUAAGUGCGGAAGAGAUAAGUGCUGAAAGCAUCUAAGCACGAAACUUGCCAAGAGAUGAGUUCUCCCAAUCUAAGAGAUAGUAAGGGUUGUUGUAGACUACGACGUAGAUAGGUCUGGUGU